GUUCAGGAUAACUUCUGGGAUGGCAUGGCCUUGCGCCGGCGAUGGUUCAUUCAAAUUUCUGCCCUAUCAACUUUCGAUGGUUGGGUAUUGGCUUACCAUGGUUGCAACGGGUAACGGAGAAUUAGGGCUCGACUCCGGAGAGGGAGCCUGAGAAACGGCUACCACAUCCAAGGAAGGCAGCAGGCGCGCAAAUUACCCAAUCCCGACACGGGGAGGUAGUGACAAUAAAUACUGAUACAGGGCUCUUUUGGGUCUUGUAAUUGGAAUGAGUACAAUUUAAACCCCUUAACGAGGAACAAUUGGAGGGCAAGUCUGGUGCCAGCAGCCGCGGUAAUUCCAGCUCCAAUAGCGUAUAUUAAAGUUGUUGCGGUUAAAAAGCUCGUAGUUGAACCUUGGGCCUGGCUGGCCGGUCCGCCUCACCGCGUGUACUGGUCCGGCCGGGCCUUUCCCUCUGGGGAACCUCAUGCCCUUCACUGGGUGUGCUGGGGAACCAGGACUUUAAC
rnacentral:rRNA from 1 species